rnacentral:rRNA from 1 species
GGAUGCGUUAAUAGCGUAUUCAUUUGACGUUAGCUGCAGAAGAAGCACCGGCUAACUCCGUGCCAGCAGCCGCGGUAAUACGGAGGGUGCGAGCGUUAAUCGGAAUUACUGGGCGUAAAGCGCAUGCAGGUGGUUUGUUAAGUCAGAUGUGAAAGCCCGGGGACUCGAACCUCGGAAUUGCAUUUGAAAACUGGCAGACUAGAGUACUGUAGAGGGGGUAGGAAUUUCAGGUGUAGCGGUGAAAAUGCGUAGAGAUCUGAAGGAAUACCGGUGGCGAAGGCGGCCCCCUGGACCAGAUAACUGACACUCAGAUGCGAAAGCGUGGGGAGCAAACAGGAUUAGAUACCCUGGUAG